CCACCUUGCUUCAUCCAACGGACCGUCGGGCACGUACCUGCCCGGAGAAGGAAGUGAAAAAA
rnacentral:ncRNA from 1 species